CACGCCGUAAACGUUGGGCACUAGGUGUGGGGAUCUAUCGACGGUUUCCGUGCCGAAGCUAACGCAUUAAGUGCCCCGCCUGGGGAGUACGGCCGCAAGGCUAAAACUCAAAGGAAUUGACGGGGGCCCGCACAAGCGGCGGAGCAUGUGGCUUAAUUCGAUGCAACGCGAAGAACCUUACCAAGGCUUGACAUUCUGGGUAAUCCGUGGAAACACGGUGAUCCUUCGGGAUCCAGAACAGGUGG
rnacentral:rRNA from 2 species